AGAUCUGAGAGGAGCUCCAUCAUGGCUGCCACAGAGACUCGGAGAAGUGAGAAGAGCUAGGCAGCUUCCUCUUUAUCCAAAGGAUGCCCUUCUACUAGAAUUGGUCCGAUGUUUUCCUCAUGGUGAGACUGGAGUUAUGGGUUUUGAAGAGGAAGAUUACAGAGGAGGCCGAGAAGAAGGAAGUGAUUCCAGAAAGGUAUCACCAUUCCUCAGUUACGAAACCCAAGUGAGACCACAAUAUCCUGACUUCCAGUCUAGAGCUAUCUGUAAUGCAAUAAAUCUCUUCACAGGAGCAUAUACACUGGGAACGGGAACUCUCACAGGGAGAUUCUCUCCCUUGUUGAUUGGAAAAAGCCAGCUGCCAUGUUGUGAGUAUCCCAUUUAAAAGGGCUAUAUGGCAAGGAACCGAGGGCAGCCUUCAGCUGACAGCCAGCAAGAAACCAAGAUCCUCAGUCUGGUAGCUUGCAAGGCACUGAAUUCUGCCAACAACUGCGUGAGCUUGGAAGUGGAUCCUUCCUCAGUUAAGCCUUGGACAAGACCCAAGCCCUGUUGGACGCUUUAAUUACAGCCUUGCAGAGAACCCAGCUAAGGCAUGUUCAGACCUGAUCCACAGAAACUGUGAGAUAAUCCAUGUGUGUUGUUUUAAGCCUCUAAGUGUGUGGUAAUUUGUUACACAGCACUGGUUAGCUAACACAGAUACCUAGACAGCUGGUAAAGCAUUAUUUCUGGAUGUGUCUGUGAGGGUGUUUCUGGAGGAGAUUGGCAUGUGAGUCAGUGAACUCUGUGGGCAAGAGCUGCCCUCAAUGUAGGUGGGCACCAUCCAAUGUUGUUUUGUUGUAUCUAGGGGCCCAGAUAAAACAAAAAGGCAGAGGAAAGGUGAAUUCACUCUCUCUCUCCUGAAGCUGGGGUACUUUUAUCUCUUGCCCUUGGACAUCAGAACUCCAGGUUCUCUGGCCUUUGGACUCUGGGACUUGCACCAGCUCCCGGCUUCUCAGGACUUCAGCCUCAGAUUGAGAGUCACUCCAUUAACUUUCCUGGUUUAAAAGCCUUUAUACUUGGACUGAGAAACACCAACAGCUUCCCUGGGCUUCCAACUUGCAGAUGACCUAUCACAGGACUUCUCAGCCUCCAUAAUCGCAUGAGCCAAUUCUCCUAAUAAGUCCCCUUUCACAUAUCUAUUUAUCUACAUACGUAUAUCCUACUGGUUCUGUCUUUCUCAGGAACCCUGACCAAUAUAGUAUGUAUCUCUAAAAGAUAAGGACAUCAAAAAAUAUUACCGCGUCUAAAAAUAAAGUGAUUUCUUAACGUCAUGAAAUAUCCAAUUGCUCUCCAAAUUUUCACAAUUACAAAAGUCCACAUGUUGCAUUUAAUUUUAAUGCCUCUUAAUUCUCCCUUAAUUUUGAGAUUGCCUUUUAAGUAAGGCAGUUUAGCUCCCUAGUUUCACUCUAGCCCAUCCAAGGUGUUUCCAAAAACCUCACCUUCACACUAACCACAUCCAUUAUAAGCUGCUUCUUAAACGAUGAGAGCUCUCACUCUCUAAAAGGAAUUCUAAGCAUACCUCUUAAAGUAAUAACAUAUUAUAUCUCUACUAAGUUUAUAAUCAUAAAGAAUGUGGGUAUUUGCAUUCUCAUUUUACAGAUGGGAAAAUUAGUGUAGGUAACACAUAUAGAGAGGUGAUAAAUAGCAAUGGUUUCCAAGAAUGAUGACGAUUUCAGUGUGAAACAGAGAGUAGCAAUGGCAAGAGAUACAGCUAAGUAAAUGUGGAUGGUGAGGGACCCAUUCUGCCUUGUUAAAAGGUUUGAACCCACCCUAUAGACAAUAAAUCACUCAGUGAAUCACUGAGCAAUUUUAAUUAUGGAAGCAAUGUGAUCAGAUUUAUAUUUAAGGCAAGAGGAUUGGUGGCAAUGUAGAAGGCAAACACAAGUCAGAAAGAGUUAGAAGUAAGAAAAGUGAGUAGUCUGAAGAAAUUGGACACAUAAGAGAUGAGGGGGCUGGAAUGACUAACUAUGCAUCUUAUUCUGAAAUAUGUCUCUUAGGUAAUUGAUUAUUGAUACCCCACAUCCAAAUAGUGGGACAGUUAACUGAGAUGUCAGAGCCAGCCUUUUCAACACUUCUAGAGAGAAAUUUUGCAAAGACACAUCUCUUGUACCUCCAUGGACUUUUAAUACAGAUAUGUUUAUCAUAAGAUAACCUUCUAAAGAGCUCAUGAUAGCAUAUGAUCAAACUCCUUAUUGUACAGUCAGGAGGAAUCAGCCUUGUUGAAGGAAGGGGCUUACCCAAAGUUACAAGUUGGGACAAAAUUUUUGCUUCCAAUUCACUGCUGUUCUUACUAGAACUGUUUUCUCCAGUCUCAUAGAAGUUCUGAGAAACAAUUAGGCCCACACUAUCAUCAACAGGCAAAUAUGUGUGCCUGACCAGACAGACAGAGAGGUAUUUUGAGAGAGGCCAGGAAUGAAACUGGUGAAGAGGCCCAGAGUUUCAAUCCUGUUCUCACUCAAGAUUCAUCAUCAUCAUCAUCUUUACUAUAAGGAAGAGGGCAUUUAAAAGCACAAAUGAGAUUGUUAGUGAUAAAAAGGUACUUAUACACCAGCCAAUUCCAUCCUCCAUUUUGCUGAGGCUCAAAGAGGUACAGUGACUUAUCUUCGGUUAUGUAUGCAACUAUUGCAGAGCUGGAUAUUGGACUUAGGCCUCCUGAAGCCCAGCACUGUGCCUGCAGGAGCAUUCCCAACUCCUGUCUUUCUGCUCAAUACAUGGGGAAGAGACGAACAAUUUAGGCUACUCAAAAUGUGGUGGGCAUUUGGGCUCUGGGGAGAGCUUCAGCAUCUCUUCUCUCUUUUCAUGUUCUCCAACUCCUCAAGCAACAUACACACAUAGCAUAAAGAUCACUAGCCAGCUAUUUUCUGUCUUGAAAAAUUUUUAUGAUAAGAGUUUUCUAAUUAGGGAAAGCCACAGUUCAUACACAAAACACAAAUUACUAGGCUCUUUGUCUUUUUCAGAAGAAGUAUUAAUCCAUAAAUAAAUAUACUCUGUUGCCAAGUCACUACCAUGCUGUAUCACAUGGCCAAAGGAUGCCAAAAGGUAUGAGCUCUUGGUGAAUCCCAGCUAUUGACAGCCAGGUGCUGGACCUUAACCAGAGGCAUUGCUAUAGGUGGUUAAGUAUAUGGGCUCUGGUCAGUGGUGACAAAGUUCCUGGGUUCAAAUCCCAACACCCCCAGUUACUAGUUAUGUGACCUUGGACAAGUUGAUUAAAAUCUCUGUACUUCAACUCCUUUAUUUGUAAUAUGGAAAUGAUUUUUUAAAUUACCUAUCUUCUGGGUCUAUUGCAAAAUUAUCUUAUUUAAUAAUAAGAUAAUCCACUUAAGGCACUAUAUGUGAGUUUUUGCAUGUAGUGAGCACUUGAACCAAUAGAGUAUAUUUCCUUUUGAAUGUAAGAAAUUCACAGAGACAGCUUCUCUAUAGUAAAGGUAAGAAUCAAAACUGAGUUUCUAUAAAUUACUUUGUAUUGCUUAGAGAAAGAAGUCAUGGCAAUAGAUUGAAUAUAUUUUAAUUUAAAGUAGAAAAUUAUAUAGGAAAAAUAGAUAUAUCUUCCAGAGCUCAGUCUCAAAGGCCACAUUUUCUUUUGAGUAUUUUAACCUCCAAAACAUACUUAGUAUGUGGUGAAAUUGCCUACUUCUGGGUUGAGUAAUGUGAGCUAUCAUUACCAUGGUAACAACAAGGCCAAUAACUUGAACUCCAGUCAUAGUAGCUACAAUAAAGGGGACUCAGUUUGGAAAUAAUUAGAAUCCAUCCUUUUUGAGACUGAAAUUCAUUGCCUUUAAGACUCAAUCAACAUUCCUGGUGGUAGUCUGGAAUCAGCUCAAAUCAAGAUACAUCUAUCUUUAAAAAGAAUAUAGGACAAGAAAUCCAAAAUAGGAAAAAAAUCAAAUCAUCUUAUCUUUCUGGUGCAUUUACUAGUCUGAUGAGUCAUAAGAAAAUAAUAACCCAGAGGUUAGAAACAAAGACAUAAGCACAAUUCCUUUCAUUCCAUGGGUAAAAUUGAA
rnacentral:lncRNA from 1 species